rnacentral:rRNA from 1 species
UACGUAGGGUGCGAGCGUUAAUCGGAAUUACUGGGCGUAAAGCGUGCGCAGGCGGUUUUGUAAGCCAGAUGUGAAAGCCCCGGGCUCAACCUGGGAAUGGCAUUCGGGACUGCAAGGCUUGAGUGCGGCAGAGGAGACUGGAAUUCCAGGUGUAGCGGUGAAAUGCGUAGAUAUCUGGAGGAACACCGGUGGCGAAGGCGGCAUCCUGGACCGGCACUGACGCUGAGGCGCGAAAGCUAGGGUAGCAAACGGG